rnacentral:rRNA from 1 species
UACGUAGGGAGCAAGCGUUGUCCGGAAUCAUUGGGCGUAAAGCGCGCGUAGGUGGCCUCAUAAGUCCGCUGUGAAAGUCAAAGGCUCAACCUUUGAAAGCCGGUGGAUACUGUGAGGCUAGAGUACGGAAGAGGCGAGUGGAAUUCCUGGUGUAGCGGUGGAAUGCGCAGAUAUCAGGAGGAACACCAAUGGCGAAGGCAGCUCUCUGGGACGGUACUGACGCUGAGACGCGAAAGCGUGGGGAGCGAACAGG